UUAUGUAGAGAUCAACAAUAUCACAAUGAUAGUAGAAAACUGUUUAUAUUGGUUUGCAUUCUUGAGUUAUGUCAUUUGUGAAAGUAAUGAAAAAGGUACAUUACAGUACAACAUAGAAAUAGAAACAAUGGAAGAACAACGUAAUCAGACUUUUUGUCUCUUUGUGAGUUAUAUGACUGAAUGUUAUGGAUACGAGAUACCAUUCACACCCAUGCCGGACCAAAAAAGAAGAAUAUUUUAAUCCUACAUAAAGUACGGCCAACUAGCAGCGAUAUAAAAGGUCGAUACGACUGUCGAGUUGACAGUAUAUUCUGUCUCUUCCUAUCUUGUGUAUUUGUCGUCGUAAUGUCUCGUUCUCCCGCCAAAAUAUGUCAAAGUCAGACGGGUUCACCCAUAACAUUGGGUUUGUUUACAUUUGGUAUCGCUUCUCGUUGGCCGUACUUUAGACAAGCCUCUACGCAGU